rnacentral:rRNA from 1 species
GAUGAACGCUGGCGGCGUGCCUAAUACAUGCAAGUCGAGCGAACGGACGAGAAGCUUGCUUCUCUGAUGUUAGCGGCGGACGGGUGAGUAACACGUGGAUAACCUACCUAUAAGACUGGGAUAACUUCGGGAAACCGGAGCUAAUACCGGAUAAUAUUUUGAACCGCAUGGUUCAAAAGUGAAAGACGGUCUUGCUGUCACUUAUAGAUGGAUCCGCGCUGCAUUAGCUAGUUGGUAAGGUAACGGCUUACCAAGGCAACGAUGCAUAGCCGACCUGAGAGGGUGAUCGGCCACACUGGAACUGAGACACGGUCCAGACUCCUACGGGAGGCAGCAGUAGGGAAUCUUCCGCAAUGGGCGAAAGCCUGACGGAGCAACGCCGCGUGAGUGAUGAAGGUCUUCGGAUCGUAAAACUCUGUUAUUAGGGAAGAACAUAUGUGUAAGUAACUGUGCACAUCUUGACGGUACCUAAUCAGAAAGCCACGGCUAACUACGUGCCAGCAGCCGCGGUAAUACGUAGGUGGCAAGCGUUAUCCGGAAUUAUUGGGCGUAAAGCGCGCGUAGGCGGUUUUUUAAGUCUGAUGUGAAAGCCCACGGCUCAACCGUGGAGGGUCAUUGGAAACUGGAAAACUUGAGUGCAAAAGAGGAAAGUGGAAUUCCAUGUGUAGCGGUGAAAUGCGCAGAGAUAUGGAGGAACACCAGUGGCGAAGGCGACUUUCUGGUCUGUAACUGACGCUGAUGUGCGAAAGCGUGGGGAUCAAACAGGAUUAGAUACCCUGGUAGUCCACGCCGUAAACGAUGAGUGCUAAGUGUUAGGGGGUUUCCGCCCCUUAGUGCUGCAGCUAACGCAUUAAGCACUCCGCCUGGGGAGUACGACCGCAAGGUUGAAACUCAAAGGAAUUGACGGGGACCCGCACAAGCGGUGGAGCAUGUGGUUUAAUUCGAAGCAACGCGAAGAACCUUACCAAAUCUUGACAUCCUUUGACAACUCUAGAGAUAGAGCCUUCCCCUUCGGGGGACAAAGUGACAGGUGGUGCAUGGUUGUCGUCAGCUCGUGUCGUGAGAUGUUGGGUUAAGUCCCGCAACGAGCGCAACCCUUAAGCUUAGUUGCCAUCAUUAAGUUGGGCACUCUAAGUUGACUGCCGGUGACAAACCGGAGGAAGGUGGGGAUGACGUCAAAUCAUCAUGCCCCUUAUGAUUUGGGCUACACACGUGCUACAAUGGACAAUACAAAGGGCAGCGAAACCGCGAGGUCAAGCAAAUCCCAUAAAGUUGUUCUCAGUUCGGAUUGUAGUCUGCAACUCGACUACAUGAAGCUGGAAUCGCUAGUAAUCGUAGAUCAGCAUGCUACGGUGAAUACGUUCCCGGGUCU